UGGACUCCGGUAACUAGGCACAAGGUUUUGAACGUCAAAAAUUCAAUUUCACAACAUGAGUGUUUUCCCCAUAUGUAAAACCACUUCCGUUACUCUGCAGGGCUAUCAAGCAGCCGCUGCUUACUUCAGUUAUGCAUUCUUAAGGCUGUGAUUUGACCAAACAAACUACACACUCAACUGGGGUCUUGUUCAGCUUUGCCUUACCCGGGCAGCUUGGUUUAGGGAUGCAAAUGGCCCGUAUUAAUUAAGGCCUGUUGGGUUUAGAGGAAUUUCGCGGGAAUUUUGAAGGAA
rnacentral:lncRNA from 1 species